CAGUCGCCGCGGUAAUACGUAGGUGGCAAGCGUUGACCGGAAUUAUUGGGCGUAAAGGGCUCGCAGGCGGUUUCUUAAGUCUGAUGUGAAAGCCCCCGGCUCAACCGGGGAGGGUCAUUGGAAACUGGGAAACUUGAGUGCAGAAGAGGAGAGUGGAAUUCCACGUGUAGCGGUGAAAUGCGUAGAGAUGUGGAGGAACACCAGUGGCGAAGGCGACUCUCUGGUCUGUAACUGACGCUGAGGAGCGAAAGCGUGGGGAGCGAACAGGAUUAGAUACCCCAGUAGUCCCUGUCUUUUAUAC
rnacentral:rRNA from 1 species